UUCCGGGAAGAGAAGAGGAGGCCACGUCGUCACAUGGCUCACAUUCCGAUGCUCAGAUUAAUACCACGUAACCGUUCCCUAUGACGUUGUCUCCGUUCUUCGUCUCUUCAACCUUCAAUUUUGCAAACCCUAAACGUUUCGUUCGUUAGUCGCGCGUACUCAGAUUUCAAUGUUGAUCGUCGAUUAUGUGGUUGAUUGCUACGUCGUUACCCAGAUGUUCCAUUGGUGCGUGCCUUUUCUAUCAUGAUACACAUUUACACAUAGAAAAUGUAUAAAUUAAUCCAACGGUUGAGAGCACUCUACUACAUGAUCAUGUAGAUGAUUGAAAUUUCAUUAUUUCGACGUUGUUAUUGCAUAUGAGCCUGAAUGUUUCAUUUUUUUCUUUUCUUUAUACGGGUUGGAAAUUUCUGCAACUAUAGUUUGAAAUUUUUCUGCUUAUAUAUGUUCAAUGAAAUGUGAAGAGUCAUUAGACAUUGUCUUCCCUAUUGUACC